AUGCUCUUGUUGGCAGCGUAUAUUCUAAUUUAGAAUGGUACAGAAAAGAUUUGCAUGGCCCCUGUGUAAAGAUGAUGCACAAAUUCAUGAAGUGUUCCAUAUUUUA
ensembl:snRNA U6 U6 spliceosomal RNA